GGGCCAGGAGGACUGGAGCAAGGUCGCUGGAGGCUGCACCAGGGGCACAGUUUUGGAAGAAUGUGAGGGCCAAUUCCAGGAAUGGAGUGGGUAGGAGUGGGCCGGAAAGAAAGAGGCAAGGAAUCUUCGAGUGGCCUUCCAAAAUAGGAGUCUUGAGAUCCCCCCAAACAAUCUGCUCUGUGCUCCAGAGCUCCAGCAGUACCAGGGGCCGGGUGGGCACGAAGGGGCUAGAAAGAAAGAGCAGAGAGAAGACGAAGUCUUUGGCCUGGAGGAGGUCUGGGCCCGCUGUGGGGCCCUGGCUCCAGCUCUCCUGCACCCCUAGUUCCUGGAUCAGCUGUGUUAGCUCCUGCAGCUGCGCCCCAGAACAGAAGUCGAUGUCUGUCAGAGGCCUGGCUGGGGCUGGGGGAGGAGGCCCCCACCAGGAUGUGCUCCCCCAGACAACAGAAGCCAUGUGACUGGGUCUGGAGAAACUCCCAAAUCGAAGAAGCUAGAUAAUCCUUUCUUUCUCUGUGAAAGUCACCCUAGUCCUCUGGUUCCGAGGCCAAGCACCCCACACUCCACACUCCACUCCGCUGAUGGAUUCCAAACUCAGUCUGGAAAACGAAUAAUUAAAUGCCACCGCUGUGCUUUUCCUUCUUCUCUCCUGCGGGUUCCGCCCCCACGGGCAAUGAACCUGUCUGGACAGGUGAAAAGUGGCACGCGGGCCCCUCCUACAGAAGGGCCAGUCUCUCAGGCUGUCCUUGUGGGUUGUCCUCUUACCUCUCUCCAGAAGAGGCUUAAGCUCUGUAACUUCCCUCUUGGUGGAGCACACACAUGGUUUCAGUUGCUGGGAAGAGAAUGGAUAGAAUAUUUACAGGUAACUGCUUCCUGCUGCCCACAAAGCCACUCCUUUUUCCUGGGUGCUGUCUGGGUGGUUCCCCGAAGGUCCCGCCUCAUAGUGAGGUCACAGUUUACUUUAGCUGUAAUGGGAGUUGUAGUCUGUCUUGCUGGCAACCUAGGAGCUGGGGCCACACCCCAAGUUCUGUACUAUUUGUUCUGCUGAAGAACAGACUGAUGGAAGUUGUAGUUUCAGUGGAGACUAACACCUCUGUCUUUCUAAGCACAAGUAACCCAACACAAAUAUGCCUGGCGGUUGGAGCAGAGGAUGAAUCUCAAUACCAAUCAAUAAUGGAGCCAUCCGCUAAGGAUCAGGUGGUAAAAAGGGUUCCUAUGUCCCAUGCGCGAGCAGCGGAAUCCUGAUCAUUUUGAUCUAGAAGGGUUCUUACAUGCAACUAAAUUUUUAUUUUGGGAAAAGAUGGGUGCUGGACAUUGUCUGACUGAAACCCACUCAUGAACAGCUUUGUAACUGUAUUUCUCAGUGAUUUAAUUAAAGAAUUUAUUUAAUUAAAAAAAAA